rnacentral:RNase_P_RNA from 1 species
CGAGCCGACUGGGUAAUCGCGGCUGCAUGUAUCGGCCUUGUUAGGUGCUGACCUGCGUCGAGGAAAGUCCGGACUCCACAGAGCACGGUGGUUGCUAACGGCAACCCAGGGCGACCUGAGGGAACAGUGCAACAGAGAGUAGACCGCCUUCUUCCGGGAAGGUAAGGGUGAAAGGGUGCGGUAAGAGCGCACCGGCGACGUAGGUGACUACGCCGGCCAGGUAAACCCCACUGGGAGCAAGGCAAGAGGCCGCACCGCUUGGUGUGGCUGCGUGGGUUGGGCUGCUCGUCCAAUAACCCACGGGUAGCUGCUUGAGGCGCAUGGGCAACGAUGCGUCCAGAUAGAUGAUUACCACCCGCAAGGGAACAUAAUCCGGCUCAUAGGUUGGCUCGUUCG